GACGAACGCUGGCGGCGUGCCUAAUACAUGCAAGUAGAACGCACAGUUUAUACCGUAGCUUGCUACACCAUAGACUGUGAGUUGCGAACGGGUGAGUAACGCGUAGGUAACCUGCCUGGUAGCGGGGGAUAACUAUUGGAAACGAUAGCUAAUACCGCAUAAUAUUAAUUAUUGCAUGAUAAUUAAUUGAAAGGUGCAAUUGCACCACUACCAGAUGGACCUGCGUUGUAUUAGCUAGUAGGUGAGGUAACGGCUCACCUAGGCGACGAUACAUAGCCGACCUGAGAGGGUGAUCGGCCACACUGGGACUGAGACACGGCCCAGACUCCUACGGGAGGCAGCAGUAGGGAAUCUUCGGCAAUGGACGAAAGUCUGACCGAGCAACGCCGCGUGAGUGAAGAAGGUUUUCGGAUCGUAAAGCUCUGUUGUAAGAGAAGGACGGGUGUGAGAGUGGAAAGUUCACACUGUGACGGUAUCUUACCAGAAAGGGACGGCUAACUACGUG
rnacentral:rRNA from 1 species